rnacentral:rRNA from 1 species
GGACUAUCAUGUCGGUCGUGCCUAGGUACGUACUGGUAUUGUUGGUCUCUCCCUUCUGACGAACCAUGAUGUCGUUUACUUGGUGUUGUGGGGAAUCAGGACUGUUACUUUGAAAAAAUUAGAGUGUUUAAAGCAGGCUCACGCUUGAAUACAUUAGCAUGGAAUAAUGAAAUAGGACAUUUGAUGCUAUUUUGUUGGUUUCUAGGAUUGACGUA